GGAAAAGCUUUUCUGCCUUCAAGAGUGGCCCCUGAAAAGAUGGAUUGAAAACUUUAAAAGUGGAGAGGGAAAGCAACUGUUUUUGUCCUCAUUUUCAAACAUGUCCAUGGUGAAUAUUUAACUUAACAAAUAAGAGCAUUUGUAUAUCAAGCUAACAAACAUUGAGGCCUCCUCCACUUCUCUGCCUACUCUGUUGACCCGAUCAUCUGGACCACCCUUACUCUUGAGCAUCUACCAAUUCUCAUCCUGUAGGCAGUGA
rnacentral:lncRNA from 12 species